AAGGAUCAUCAGGACAGGCUUGAGGUCUAAACAGCAGCCUGGGGGUCCUGAUGCUCCCUGUGCCCUAGGCGCCUGGGCUUUAACAAGGCCUGGUCAUCUAGCACAUAAUGUGCUGCAGCUGAAACCCAGCUACAGCGACAGAUGCCCACACGUUAGGUCGCUCCUUCAUGCUUGUCAUCAUAAAGCCUCGGGUUAGGUUAGUUACACUGAAGAUCAGAGUUGUCAAAUGCUAUAUUUUCUCACGA
rnacentral:lncRNA from 1 species